UUAGAAUUGACGGGGCCCGCACAAGCGGUGGAGCAUGUGGUUAAUUCGACGCAACGCGAAGAACCUUACCAGGGCUUGACAUCCCCUGACCGCGUAUGAAAGUACGUUUUCACCCUCGGGUGACAGGGAGACAGGUGGUGCAUGGUUGUCGUCAGCUCGUGUCGUGAGAUGUUGGGUUAAGUCCCGCAACGAGCGCAACCCCUACGUUUAGUUGCUAACAGGUGAAGCUGAGCACUCUAGACGAACUGCCGUUGACAAAACGGAGGAAGGUGGGAUGACGUCAAAUCAUCAUGCCCCUUAUGUUCUGGGCUACACACGUGCUACAAUGGCCGGUACAGACGGAGGCGAAGCCGCGAGGCGGAGCAAAUCCGAAAAAGCCGGUCUCAGUUCGGAUUGCAGGCUGCAAUUCGCCUGCAUGAAGUCGGAAUCGCUAGUAAUCGCAGGUCAGCAUACUGCGGUGAAUACGUUCCCGGGCCUU
rnacentral:rRNA from 1 species